GAGUUUGAUCUUGGCUCAGGACAAACGCUGGCGGGGUGCAUGAGACAUGCAAGUCGAACGGGGUUGAGCGGGCUUGCUCGAUCAACCUAGUGGCGGACGGCUGAGUAACGCGUAGGUGACCUACCCGGAAGUGGGGAAUAACUGCCCGAAAGGGUGGCUAAUACCGCAUGUGGUCGGCGAUUCGGUUCGCCGUGCAAAGCCGCAAGGCGCUUCCGGAGGGGCCUGCGUCCGAUUAGCUAGUUGGUGGGGUAAUGGCUCACCAAGGCGACGAUCGGUAGCUGGUCUGAGAGGAUGAUCAGCCAGACUGGGACUGAGAACGGCCCAGACUCCUACGGGAGGCAGCAGUCGGGAAUUUUGCCCAAUGGACGAAAGUCUGAGGCAGCAACUCCGCGUGAGGGACGAAGGCCUUCGGGUCGU
rnacentral:rRNA from 1 species